AGGAUCUUUUUAAAAGUAUUUGCUGAAUGAAGAGCAAGAUGUGCCAGCCCUCAGACAGUUGCCUGCAUAUAUCACAGCACAGCUUCAAAACCCACUUUCUGGAGUCAGAAAACCUGCAAAGUUGGAGGUGAAGAAAACUUCUCAGCUUGGGUCCUUCCAGGUGCACCUUAUGGUCAAAUGAAAUGGGAAUGCAGAAUACAAUCGAAGCAAAUCCUUGGAGGCAAAACCCUUAAGAAGUCAUGAAUCCUGGAGGGUGGGGAUGUGGACAUAGCUUUGAGUGGCCGCCCCAGGAUGUUGCAUCAGAGAUACUCUGGGCAGGAGCUGAGAGUAAACCACGAAGAUCAGGGUGAGACACAUAAUCUGACUGCUUCUCCACAGAGGGACCAACACAGAGGCUACACUUCUGCAGUGGUGAUUUGGACAUGGAUGUGAUGUGGAGAGUCUGUGUGCACUGUGCUGUGGGUGUGAGGUCCAGCGAGGGCAGGUGCAGCAGUGCAUGAUGCUCCAGCAGUGCAUGAUGCUCCAGCAGUGCAUGAUGCUCCAGCAGUACAUGAUGCAGCCAGGCUCUUUCCCUCCACCAGUGUCACACUUCCUGUAAUAUACGGUGAGAGCAUCACCUUCUCCACCCCUUGGGUUGAACCCAACACCUGCACGUGCUAAGUCAGUCUCUGGGCUGCAUCCCGAGCCCUGACAAUAUCGUGUCUAUAUUAAAACAUUGUUUUCAUAAAAAUAAA